GAGAUACUAGUAACUCCUGAGGCUCUCCCCAGCAGCAACAGGUUUCAGGUGUCAGCGGCAACGCUGCCAGUGUCUCACCCCAGGACGUACAACAAAACGCUGGUCAAUCUGUAGCAUCUCUUUUCUGCUGCUGCAAACAACAAGGCCUUAACAGCUGAAACCCUCCCACUCUGUAACCCCUGCUGGCAGCUGCCCCACCCCAGGGGGCAGCUGUGGGCAUGCCAAGGACCCAAGGCCCAGCUCUGGUAGGGCCCAGCUGUGUCACCUCCACUCAGACUGCUGGAAGAAAGCUGUGAGAAAGUCCACAGAGAGAUGAGAGAGGUACAAAUCACGAGGAGGGGCAGGAUUGAUGGGAGACGGGCUCGGAAGCAGCCCAAGGAGCCAGGAGGGAAGGCGGUGACACAGCGAGGGUCUCGGCGCUCAGCUGUGGGUGCCCAAACUAGAAGAGGAACCCUAAUACACCUCUGACAGAGACCAACCCGUGCUGCAGAUGAGGCUGUCGCUGGCUAGCUCACGCAGAGAAAAGAGAGAAUGAGAAGAGAGAAUGAAAAAACUGGGCCAGGCUCAGAUCAGCAAGAGGUUAAUCAAGUUUCCCAACCGUCAGCCUAGCUGGGUGCCCCUGUGCCACACACGUCCAAAAGACGCUUUUGUAAUUCACUGGUAGCUGAAAAUAAUUGUUAGUCUAAAUACGCCUCCUCAACAACGCUCCCAAAAAAACGUAGGCAUGAAGAUGGUAGUGGCUCUUACCCACAUG